AUCUGAUGGUUAGGACAGGUGGAGCACAACCUCUUGAAGCGUUCCCAGUAUUCAAACAGAUUCUCCCCAGGCAGUUGUCUAAUUCCACUUAUUUCUUUUCUCAUAGCU
rnacentral:snoRNA from 1 species